rnacentral:rRNA from 1 species
UUGAACGCUGGCGGCAUGCCUUACACAUGCAGGUCGAACGGCAGCACGGGUGCUUGCACCUGGUGGCGAGUGGCGAACGGGUGAGUAAUACAUCGGAACAUGUCCUGUAGUGGGGGAUAGCCCGGCGAAAGCCGGAUUAAUACCGCAUACGAUCUACGGAUGAAAGCGGGGGACCUUCGGGCCUCGCGCUAUAGGGUUGGCCGAUGGCUGAUUAGCUAGUUGGUGGGGUAAAGGCCUACCAAGGCGACGAUCAGUAGCUGGUCUGAGAGGACGACCAGCCACACUGGGACUGAGACACGGCCCAGACUCCUACGGGAGGCAGCAGUGGGGAAUUUUGGACAAUGGGCGAAAGCCUGAUCCAGCAAUGCCGCGUGUGUGAAGAAGGCCUUCGGGUUGUAAAGCACUUUUGUCCGGAAAGAAAUCCUUGGCUCUAAUACAGUCGGGGGAUGACGGUACCGGAAGAAUAAGCACCGGCUAACUACGUG